GCGCCCGCCCCGCAGCCCGCGCCCGCCCGCCGCAAGUUUGUUCCCCGCCGCUGCGGCCUGCGCGGAGAGAGGAUCGCGCGCGGGGAGGCGCCGAGGGGCAGCAAGAGUGGAGAAAGUGCGGAAAGAAGCAACAGCCGCUCCACCCGCGGGCGGAAAAGUGGCCGGGCGCGGCGGCGGGAUGCGGCGCAGCUAACGGUCCCCGGCGGCCGCCGGAGCCGCUAGGCGCAGAGGCAGGCUGGCACCUGCGCAGUGGGAGAGAGUUCUUGUCACUGGUGACUCAUCGUGCAGUGAGCACAAGGAAGAGCAAGGGGAUAGUGUCUCACAAGUGUAGGGCUGGAGCUACAGGAACCAUCCAGGUGCACUGGCUUGGCCUCUGCGUCUUUCUGUGCCACUGUCUCAUUCUGUUUCCGGCUGUGCGUGGAUGCGGAUGGUCCAGAGAGUUCCAGGUGGUGUGAACUUCUCCUGGGACCAUCUGUCCCUCCCAGCAGCUCCAGAGCCACACUGCCUUGGAAGACCCGACAGACAGAUUGCUCCACCUUGACCCUUCUUUCCACAGUGUCUUCAGCAUCUCUGUCCCUCCCAUUCCCACUCCAUUUCUUCUAUCUCUCCCCAUGCAAGAGUGGAUCAGCUGCAUCCUGGGCCAGUAGGGUCCUUUGCAGGUGGCCAACCAAGAGAAAGAGGAAGUGGCUCUUGGAAUCACAGACCCAGGCUGGGAAGAAUUUGUGUGAUGCAGUGGCCACCCCCUAAGAGCUGCAGUGAUCCUCUCUGAGCCCUUCAGAAAGCACUAUGACCACAAAAAGUUCUCAAGGGGCAGCAGCCAUUUCCCAUAGACAGGCUGUGUCAUGUCCACAUUCACCACAGGGCAAUUAUGGUGGAGAAGAAAAAGAAACUGGACCGGAUGAACUGUUAGUAAACCUUCUUUGACAAGCCACCUCCAUGGUGGCUAAGAUUUCUGCAGCUUCACAUAUCUAUAUAGACCUGCUUCACCUUAAAAUGUGGCGCACUAUGAAUGUGUCUGUUUUACUACUGUUGGCAUGGAGUGCUGGUUUUCUCUGGCAUGUAAAUCAGAAGUUGUGACUCUGGGAACCUUCUUUCCCUGCCAUGCUAGGCUAUGCAGCUGAAGGGUGCAAAGGAGAGGCCUUUGUUCAGGGUUUCUGGGACCAGUCUCCUGACUUUCUUCCUGUCUGUCAGCCCCAGAUGCUAUCCUAAACAACAGCUCUUCCUUGUGUCUAGCUAGAGAAAGAUUUUCUUCGGGUAUCAUCUUUAGGUAUCAUUCUAAAAUAAAAUCUUUGUCUAAGGUAAUUGUGCAAGGGUUUUCCAGGAAGCAAUAGUUAAGGAAUGAUUGCUAGAAAUGUUUUAGUUAAUUGAAUAUUCUGGAAAAUAAAUGUGACAUUA
ensembl:processed_transcript Gm10125 predicted gene 10125